rnacentral:rRNA from 1 species
GACGAACGCUGGCGGCGUGCUUAACACAUGCAAGUCGAACGGAAAGGCCCUGCUUUUGUGGGGUGCUCGAGUGGCGAACGGGUGAGUAACACGUGAGUAACCUGCCCUUUACUUUGGGAUAACUUCAGGAAACUGGGGCUAAUACCGGAUAGGAGCUCCUGCUGUAUGGUGGGGGUUGGAAAGUUUCGGCGGUUGGGGAUGGACUCGCGGCGUAUCAGCUUGUUGGUGGGGUAGUGGCUUACCAAGGCUUUGCCGGGUAGCCGGCCUGCGAGGGUGACCGGCCACAUUGGGACUGAGAUACGGCCCAGACUCCUACGGGAGGCAGCAGUGGGAAAUAUUGCACAAUGGGCGGAAGCCUGAUGCAGCAACGCCGCGUGCGAGAUGACGGCCUUCGGGUUGUAAACCGCUUUCGCCUGUGACGAAGAGUGAGUGACGGUAAUGGGUAAAGAAGCACCGGCUAACUACGUG